rnacentral:lncRNA from 1 species
UUUUGCUCAGAGUUAGACUUUCUUGAACGUGUUUCCACUUCAGAUGCUUCUUGUCUUCUGAUAGUUUAUAUCUGAUAUGAUUAUGUAUCUAAUGAUUUCUUACUUCUUUCCUUAGAACCCUGCACACUUAGAAACUUUUCGUUAGGGUGCCAAUUUUGGUUUCAUCCUUUGUUAUCAUCAAAAUCAAGGAAUCUGUUGUAGAACAAUUUUUGUU